rnacentral:rRNA from 1 species
GACGAACGCGGCGGCGUGCUUAACACAUGCAAGUCGAACGGAAAGAGAUGAAAGAGCUUGCUCUUUUAUUAAUUUCAGUGGCAAACGGGUGAGUAACACGUAAACAACCUGCCUUAAGGAUGGGGAUAACAGACGGAAACGACUGCUAAUACCGAAUACGUUCUAAGCAUCGCAUGGUGCAUAGAAGAAAGGGUGGCCUCUACAAGAAAGCUAUCGCCUUAAGAGGGGUUUGCGACUGAUUAGGUAGUUGGUGAGGUAACGGCUCACCAAGCCGACGAUCAGUAGCCGGUCUGAGAGGAUGAACGGCCACACUGGAACUGAGACACGGUCCAGACUCCUACGGGAGGCAGCAGUGGGGAAUCUUCCGCAAUGGACGAAAGUCUGACGGAGCAACGCCGCGUGAACGAAGAAGGUCUUCGGAUUGUAAAGUUCUGUGAUUCGGGACGAAAGGGUUUGUGGUGAAUAAUCAUAGACAUUGACGGUACCGAAAAAGC